AUGGGCUGGAGCUGCCUUGUGACAGGAGCAGGAAGUUUUCUGGGUCAGAGGAUCGCCUGCCUCUUGGUGGAGGAGAAGGAGCUGAAGGAGAUCAGGGCCUUGGACAAGGCCUUCAGACCAGAGCUGAGGGAGGAAUUUUCUGUUGAACUUUCUCAGAAAAGUUUAUUUAAACAGCCAGUCCUGUACCUGGUGUACAGUGUACGAGGCUUGGAGGUGGGGCCCAUCCACAAUUCCCUAGUAAUGGCUCCACUCUCCUCCCAAUUGCCCAAGCAGGAAACCACAGGGGUGAUUUUGUCUUCUUUUUCUCUCAGCCCAGAUCCAGUAGGUAUCAAGACCUUCAAGUUAUAUUUCCUGACACUGACAGCACGCUUUUUGUUGGUAGUUACCCAGCUUCUGUUGGAGGCCUGUGUCCAAGCUACUGUGCCAAUCUUCAUCUACACCAGUACCCUAGAGGUAGCCGGGCCCAACUCCUAAAAGGAAAUUAUUCAGAACGGCCAUGAAGAAGAGCCUUUGGAAAACACAUGGUCCACACCGUACGCAUACAGCAAAAAGCUUGCUGAGAAGGCUGUGCUGGCGGCUAAAGGGUGGACUCUGAAAAAUGGUGGCACAAUGCACACUUGUGCCUUAAGACCAAUGGUUAUCUAUGGGGAAGGAAGCCCAAUCCUUUCUGCUGGUAUAAAUGAGGCCCUGAACAACAACGGAUCCUGUCAAGUUUCAGCAAGUUCUCCAGAGUCAACCCAGUCUAUGUUGACAACGUGGCCUGGGCCCACAUUGUGGCCAUGAGGGCCCUGCAGGACCCCAAGAAGGCUCCAAGUGUCCAAGGACAGUUCUACUAUAUCUCAGAUGACACACCUGACCAAAGCUAUGAUAACCUUAGUUACACCCUGAGUAAAGAGAGAGGCCUCUGCCUUGAUUCCAGAUGGAGUCUUCCUUUAGCCCUGAUGUACUGGAUUGGCUUCCUGCUGGAAAUAGUGAGCCUCCUACUGAGGCCAGUUUACACCUAUGGACCACCCUUCAACCACCACACAGUGACAUUGUCAAAUAGCGUGUUCACCUUCUCUUACAAGAAGGCUCAGCGAGAUCUGGCGUAUGAGCCGCUCUACAGCUGGGAGGAAGCCAAGCAGAAAACCGUGGAGUGGGUUGGUUCCCUUGUGGACCGGCACAAGGAGACCCUGAAGUCCAAGACUCAGUGAUUUAAGGAUGACAGAGAUGUGCAUGUGGGUAUUGUUAGGAGAUGUCUUCAAGCUCCACCCUCCUGGCUUCAUACAGAAGGUGACAAGGGCACAAGCCCAGGUCCUGCUGCCUCCCUUUCACAUAACAGCCAACUUAUUGUCUUCCUCAUGUCCUCAAAACCUGCCCAGUCCCUGGCCCAGCCAGAAGCUUUCUGUCCUAAUCAUAUACCAGAAGAAAGACGAUGUGAUUUGCUUUUUCCAAAACUCAGUGGCUGAUUCUGAACAAUUGUGGUCUCUUUUAACUUGAGGGUCGUUUUUAACUACUAGAACUCCAUUUCUCCUCUUAAACGAGAAAGAAUCUUUUCUUUCAAAUCUCCUACUUCUUCACACAGUUCAAUAUAAAGAGUAAUAAAUGUUUUAAUGCUUAACCUGGA